rnacentral:rRNA from 1 species
UACGUAGGGGGCAAGCGUUGUCCGGAUUCAUUGGGCGUAAAGAGCGUGUAGGCGGCCAGGUAGGUCGGUUGUGAAACUGGAGGCUCAACCUUCAGACGUCGACCGAAACCAUCUGGCUAGAGUCCGGGAGAGGAGAGUGGAAUUCCUGGUGUAGCGGUGAAAUGCGCAGAUAUCAGGAAGAACACCCGUGGCGAAAGCGGCUCUCUGGAACGGUACUGACGCUGAGACGCGAAAGCGUGGGGAGCGAACAGG